rnacentral:rRNA from 1 species
AUGAGCAUAGGCAUUGCCCGAGUUGCAGCGACCGCUCUCUUUUCAUGCUGCUGCCUGAUGGUUGCACUUCCAGCUACUGCUGCUGCGGCCAGAUCAGGUGGCAGCAGUGGACCGCUGUACAACGCCAUCUUCAACUUCGGCGAUUCGGGGUCCGACGCCGGUAACUUAUGUGUUGAUGGCCGGCCGGGGCCUGCAGGCCUGUUGGGCAUUUUCACCCGUCUCCCCUACGGUGUCACCUAUUUUGGGAAGCCCACUUGCCGGUGCAGCGAUGGCCGGGUUAACAUCGACUUCCUGGGUUGCAAGAUGUAUUUGGCCAAAUCCCUGUUUGUGUUUCAGUUGGGGGAGAAUGACUACAGCAUCCAGCUGGUCAAUGGAUCCACAGUAGACGAGGCCAGCAAGAACAUACCCAGAAUAGUGAACACCAUCAUAUCUGGUGUGGAGAAAUUAAUGACACUCGGCGCAGUUGACAUUGUGGUGUCAGACAUCGCUCCGAUGGGUUGCUUUCCAUUUUACCUGAGCAUGUUCGAGAGCUCCAACAAAAGUGACUAUGACAAGUACGGGUGCCUGAGAAACCACAACGCGUUGUUCAAAAGGCACAACUCUUUCCUCCAGAGCAGCCUCCCAAAGCUUCAAAAGAAGCAUCCACGCACACGGAUCAUGUAUGCCGACCUGGCAAGCCACAUCUACCAAAUAGUGCAAGAUCCCAGAAAAUUCGGCUUUGAGACCGCCCUCAUGAGCUGUUGCGGAAAGGCCGGUGCACCGCAUAGAUUUGAUCCAUUCAACUUGUGCGGGAUGAAUGGCUCAAGCGUUUGCCAUGACCCAGGGAGCCACCUCCUCUGGGAUGGUAUGCACCUGAGCGACACCGCUAACAGACGGAUCGCCGAGGGCUGGCUCAGCGGCCCGUACUGCCACCCACCAAUUCUGCAGUGA